CCUGAGCUGGUGGUAGGCAUUGAUGAGGGAGGUGAACUUUGGUGCUUCCAAGGGUUCCUUGGUCCAGGCCCUGUCUCCUGAGAGAUAAAUAUGAUUCCCAUCAUUCCCCUGCUUUAAAACCAACUUUGGGCCUUUACCACCCAUAGCCAAAAUCUAAAUUAUUGCAUAUAGGACACAAUAAUCUUAAGAAACUAGCUCCAAUGGAUCCACUCUUCUUUCUCAACAUUUGUGACUUGUUUGCCCCUAGGAUCCUACGCAUUCAGCCUCUGGUCUCCAGAACCCUCGCUGCCACAGCAAAGGCUCUCUUCCUGGCCCCACCAGCUCCACCGAUAAUGCCUGAAAUAUUAGUCCUACACAAUCUGGCGUGGUUGAAGAGGCCUCAGAGUGAGGGAGAGAGAUGGAGGCCUCUUGCUUGGAGGAGAUUUCAGGAGGCUCAGACCCUGGUGGCACCAGUAAAAGGAAGCCAACUAAGAGUACACAGCCUCUUUGGACUAUGAGUGCAACAGAAGUCCCAGCUUCAAUCUAAGUAGACAUGUCUGGCCAGCUUGCAGAAAGAACACACCAGAAACCUAUUAAAUGCGCGCUGA
rnacentral:lncRNA from 1 species